UAUAAUUUCCAAACUAACCCCAUUGACUAACCUUGCUGUUAUUUAUGGCCGAGUCCUUUUGGCAAAACUAGUCUUCAAGCUGUCUUUAUUUUUUCUCCGGCGAGUGGUGAGCUGAUAUCUCGUAGCUCCGAAGCGCCACCAUGGCCGAAGACUUUUCUGGAAAAAUCGAAAGCAAAGGGCUAAACCCGGGACUGAUCGUCCUUCUUGUAAUUGGAGGGUUGCUAGUGUCAUUCCUUGUAGGAAACAUCAUCCUUUACACCUACGCACAGAAGAAUUUGCCCCCGAAGAAGAAGAAGCCACUUUCUAAGAAGAAGAUGAAGAAAGAGAAGAUGAAGCAAGGCGUCCAAGUUCCUGGAGAGUAGCUUUUUCGUUGGGAUGAUCCUUUGAUGAUCACUCACUUUGCAGUACUAGAAAGUUACAUAUGACUCUGUGUACUCUCUUUUUUAGCUUUAAAUGUUUUCCUUGUAGCAUGAUAUUUUCUUGAGUUGAGACAAUCUAAAAGCUUUGCUGUGAUAA